rnacentral:rRNA from 1 species
GAUGAACGCUGGCGGCGUGCCUAAUACAUGCAAGUCGAGCGAACGGACGAGACGCUUGCUUCUCGGAUGUUAGCGGCGGACGGGUGAGAAACACGUGGAUAACCUACCUAUAAGACUGGGAUAACUUCGGGACACCGGAGCUAAUACCGGAUAAUAUUUUGAACCGCAUGGUUGAAAAGAGAAAGACGGUCUUGCUGUCACCUAUAGAUGGAUCCGCGCUGCAUUAGCUGGUUGGUAAGGUAACGGCUUACCAAGGCAACGAUGCAUAGCCGAACUGAGAGGGUGAUCGGCCACCCUGGAACUGGACCACGGUCCAGGGUCCUACGGGAGGCAGCAGUAGGGAACCUGACGCAACGGGCGAAAGCAUUACGGAGUAACGCCGAGUCAGUGAUGAAGGUCUUCGGAUCGUAAAACUCUGUUAUUAGGGAAGAACAUAUGUGUCAGUAAAUGUGCACAGCUUGACGGUACCUAAUCAGAAAGCCACGGCUAACUACGUG